rnacentral:misc_RNA from 1 species
GAAAUGCGAUACGUAAUGCGAAUUGCAGAAUUCAGUGAAUCAUCAAAUCUUUGAACGCAAAUUGCGCUCCCGGGUAGCCCUAGGAGCACGCCUCUCUCAGUAUCGGUUUCACCCCUCUCAGCAGCGUGCGUCGUGUUUCGAUGCGUCGUGCGUGUUGGCUGGAGAAUGGGCGUCUGACUGUAUGGUCAGUCGCCUCAAGUCUAUGGAGGACAUCGCCUCAGCGCGAAGACCCGCCGAGCCCUGUGCUCGGGCAUCAGUCUCGGACUGUUGCGUCGGGAGUGACGUGAAGACUGGCCCCAUGCGGGUCUCCUCAUUUACGUGUAUCUCUUGGCGCGCCAAACAGACUAGGAUAGAUGUGCGCUUCGACGCGAACGAUGCUCCGGUGCGUGGCCCAGCCACAAGCGGUCGUACUCACCUGCGACCUGAAUUUUGAUCUGAGAUGAAGCGAGACAACCCCCUGAAGUUAAGC